rnacentral:rRNA from 1 species
GAGUUCUGAUUAUUGAAAGGUGCUUGCAUCUUGAUUUAAUUUUGAACGAGUGGCGGACGGGUGAGUAACACGUGGGUAACCUGCCCUUAAGUGGGGGAUAACAUUUGGAAACAGAUGCUAAUACCGCAUAAAUCCAAGAACCGCAUGGUUCUUGGCUGAAAGAUGGCGUAAGCUAUCGCUUUUGGAUGGACCCGCGGCGUAUUAGCUAGUUGGUGAGGUAACGGCUCACCAAGGCAAUGAUACGUAGCCGAACUGAGAGGUUGAUCGGCCACAUUGGGACUGAGACACGGCCCAAACUCCUACGGGAGGCAGCAGUAGGGAAUCUUCCACAAUGGACGCAAGUCUGAUGGAGCAACGCCGCGUGAGUGAAGAAGGCUUUCGGGUCGUAAAACUCUGUUGUUGGAGAAGAAUGGUCGGCAGAGUAACUGUUGUCGGCGUGACGGUAUCCAACCAGAAAGCCACGGCUAACUACGUGCCAGCAGCCGCGGUAAUACGUAGGUGGCAAGCGUUAUCCGGAUUUAUUGGGCGUAAAGCGAGCGCAGCCGGUUUUUUAAGUCUGAUGUGAAAGCCCUCGGCUUAACCGAGGAAGUGCAUCGGAAACUGGGAAACUUGAGUGCAGAAGAGGACAGUGGAACUCCAUGUGUAGCGGUGAAAUGCGUAGAUAUAUGGAAGAACACCAGUGGCGAAGGCGGCUGUCUGGUCUGUAACUGACGCUGAGGCUCGAAA